AACGAAGGGGGCUAGCGUUGAUCGGAAUUACUGGGCGUAAAGCGCACGUAGGCGGACUGUCAAGUCAGAGGUGAAAUCCCGGGGCUCAACCUCGGAACUGCCUUUGAUACUGUCAGUCUAGAGUCCGGAAGAGGUGGGUGGAAUUCCUAGUGUAGAGGUGAAAUUCGCAGAUAUUAGGAAGAACACCGGUGGCGAAGGCGGCCCACUGGUCCGGAACUGACGCUGAGGUGCGAAAGCGUGGGGAGCAAACAGG
rnacentral:rRNA from 1 species